AGUGAACUUCGUUUGCAGUGAAAAUCCUUUAUGAGGCUUUUUUUCUGCCUCAAAAAGAUUGUAACGUAAUGCCCGACCUGAU
rnacentral:sRNA from 1 species